rnacentral:sRNA from 1 species
CACUAGUCGAGAGCUGACGCCACUCCCCUGAUGAGUCAAAUGCAGGACGAAACCAGUA